ensembl:snoRNA
UCUGGCAAUGAUGACACACUUGCCCUCUCUGAGAACAGUGCUUGCUAAUGAGAGAAGCUUUACAUACUCAGCAGAGCUGAGCCAGA